GCAUAUCAAUAAGCGGAGGAAAAGAAACCAACAGGGAUUGCCCUAGUAACGGCGAAGUGAAGCGGCAACAGCUCAAAUUUGAAAUCUGCCUUCGGGCCGAGUUGUAAUUUGUAGAGGAAGCUUUUGGUGAGGCACCUUCUGAGUCCCCUGGAACGGGGCGCCAUAGAGGGUGAGAGCCCCGUAUAGUCGGAUGCCGAUCCAAUGUAAAGCUCCUUCGACGAGUCGAGUAGUUUGGGAAUGCUGCUCAAAAUGGGAGGUAAAUUUCUUCUAAAGCUAAAUACCGGCCAGAGACCGAUAGCGCACAAGUAGAGUGAUCGAAAGAUGAAAAGCACCUUGAAAAGGGGGUUAAAUAGCACGUGAAAUUGUUGAAAGGGAAGCGUUUGCGGCCAGACUUGCGCCGCCCCGAUCAUCCGGUGUUCUCACCGGUGCACUCGGGGCGGCGCAGGCCAGCAUCGGUUUCGGCGGGGGGAUAAAGGCCCGGGGAACGUAGCUCCUUCGGGAGUGUUAUAGCCCCGGGCGUAAUGCCCUCGCCGGGACCGAGGUUCGCGCAUCUGCAAGGAUGCUGGCGUAAUGGCCGCCAACGACCCGUCUUGAAACACGGACCAAGGAGUCAAGGUUUUGCGCGAGUGUUUGGGUGUAAAACCCGCACGCGUAAUGAAAGUGAACGUAGGUGAGAGCUUCGGCGCAUCAUCGACCGAUCCUGAUGUAUUCGGAUGGAUUUGAGUAAGAGCGUUAAGCCUUGGACCCGAAAGAUGGUGAACUAUGCUUGGAUAGGGUGAAGCCAGAGGAAACUCUGGUGGAGGCUCGCAGCGGUUCUGACGUGCAAAUCGAUCGUCAAAUCUGAGCAUGGGGGGCGAAAGACUAAUCGAACCAUCUAGUAGCUGGUACCGC
rnacentral:rRNA from 1 species